rnacentral:rRNA from 1 species
GCGGUUUAUUAAGUCAGAUGUGAAAGCCCCGGGCUUAACCUGGGAACUGCAUUUGAAACUGGUCAACUAGAGUAUGGUAGAGGAAAGUGGAAUUUCUGGUGUAGCGGUGAAAUGCGUAGAUAUCAGAAGGAACAUCAAUGGCGAAGGCAACUUUCUGGACCAAUACUGACGCUGAGGUACGAAAGCGUGGGUAGCAAACAGGAUUAGAUACCCUGGUAGUCCACGCCGUAAACGAUGAUAACUAGCCGUUGGGGGGAUUUACCCCUUAGUGGCGAAGCUAACGCGUUAAGUUAUCCGCCUGGGGAGUACGGCCGCAAGGUUAAAACUCAAAGGAAUUGACGGGGACCCGCACAAGCGGUGGAGCAUGUGGUUUAAUUCGAUGCAACGCGAAGAACCUUACCUGGUCUUGACAUCCUGAGAACUUUCUAGAAAUAGAUUGGUGCCUUCGGGAACUCAGUGACAGGUGCUGCAUGGCUGUCGUCAGCUCGUGUCGUGAGAUGUUGGGUUAAGUCCCGUAACGAGCGCAACCCCUAUCCUUAUUUGCCAGCACAUCAUGGUGGGAACUAUAAGGAGACUGCCGGUGAUAAACCGGAGGAAGGCGGGGACGACGUCAAGUCAUCAUGGCCCUUACGACCAGGGCUACACACGUGCUACAAUGGGAAGGACAAAGAGCCGCGAAGCCGCGAGGUGUAGCUAAUCUCAGAAACCUUUUAGUAGUCCGGAUUGGAGUCUGCAUCUCGACUCCAUGAAG